rnacentral:rRNA from 1 species
CCCUUGCCCUUCCCGCCUAUAUACCGCCGUCGUCAGCUUACCCUGUGAAGGCCUAAUAGUAAGCAAAACCGGUAAAACCUAAAACGUCAGGUCGAGGUGUAGCGUAUGAGAUGGAAAGAAAUGGGCUACAUUUACUGUUCCAGUAAACACGAAUGCUGUGCUGAAAUAAGCAGUUGAAGGAGGAUUUAGCAGUAAGAGGGGAAUAGAGCGCCCCCCUGAAAACGGCCCUGAAGCGCGCACACACCGCCCGUCACUCUCCCCAACAUAAAUAUAUACAAUAAAUAAUAAAUCAUAAAACGCAAGGGGAGGCAAGUCGUAACAUGGUAAGUGUACCGGAAGGUGCACUUGGAAAAACC